AGCAGCCGCCGCGGUAAUACGUAGGGUCCGAGCGUUGUCCGGAAUUACUGGGCGUAAAGAGCUCGUAGGUGGUUUGUCGCGUUGUUCGUGAAAACUCACAGCUUAACUGUGGGCGUGCGGGCGAUACGGGCAGACUAGAGUACUGCAGGGGAGACUGGAAUUCCUGGUGUAGCGGUGGAAUGCGCAGAUAUCAGGAGGAACACCGGUGGCGAAGGCGGGUCUCUGGGCAGUAACUGACGCUGAGGAGCGAAAGCGUGGGGAGCGAACAGGAUUAGAUACCCCAGUAGUCCCUGUCUCUUAUAC
rnacentral:rRNA from 1 species